UUGGCUUAGAAGCAGCCAUCAUUUAAAGAAAGCGUAAUAGCUCACUGGUCGAGUCGGCCUGCGCGGAAGAUGUAACGGGGCUAAACCAUGCACCGAAGCUGCGGCAGCGACGCUUAUGCGUUGUUGGGUAGGGGAGCGUUCUGUAAGCCGUUGAAGGUGGCCUGUGAGGGUUGCUGGAGGUAUCAGAAGUGCGAAUGCUGACAUAAGUAACGAUAAUGCGGGUGAAAAACCCGCACGCCGGAAGACCAAGGGUUCCUGUCCAACGUUAAUCGGGGCAGGGUGAGUCGACCCCUAAGGCGAGGCCGAAAGGCGUAGUCGAUGGGAAACAGGUUAAUAUUCCUGUACUUGGUGUUACUGCGAAGGGGGGACGGAGAAGGCUAUGUUGGCCGGGCGACGGUUGUCCCGGUUUAAGCAUGUAGGCGGAUGUUCCAGGUAAAUCCGGAACGUCACUAACGCUGAGGUGUGAUGACGAGGCACUACGGUGCUGAAGUGACAAAUGCCCUGCUUCCAGGAAAAGCCUCUAAGCAUCAGGUAACAUCAAAUCGUACCCCAAACCGACACAGGUGGUCAGGUAGAGAAUACCAAGGCGCUUGAGAGAACUCGGGUGAAGGAACUAGGCAAAAUGGUGCCGUAACUUCGGGAGAAGGCACGCUGAUGGUAAGUGAAGUGACUUGCUCAUGGAGCUGAAAUCAGUCGAAGAUACCAGCUGGCUGCAACUGUUUAUUAAAAACACAGCACUGUGCAAACACGAAAGUGGACGUAUACGGUGUGACGCCUGCCCGGUGCCGGAAGGUUAAUUGAUGGGGUUAUCCUC
rnacentral:rRNA from 1 species